rnacentral:rRNA from 1 species
AUUGAACGCUGGCGGCAUACCUUACACAUGCAAGUCGAACGGUAACAGGUCUUCGGAUGCGGACGAGUGGCGAACGGGUGAGUAAUACAUCGGAACGUGCCUAGUAGUGGGGGAUAACUACUCGAAAGAGUGGCUAAUACCGCAUGAGAUCUACGCAUGAAAGCAGGGGAUCGCAAGGCCUUGUGCUUCUAGAGCGGCCGAUGGCAGAUUAGGUAGUCGGUGGGAUAAAAGCUUACCAAGCCGACGAUCGGUAGCUGGUCUGAGAGGACGAUCAGCCACACUGGGACUGAGACACGGCCCAGACUCCUACGGGAGGCAGCAGUGGGGGAUUUUGGACAAUGGGCGCAAGCCUGAUCCAGCAAUGCCGCGUGCAGGAUGAAGGCCUUCGGGUUGUAAACUGCUUUUGUACGGAACGAAAAGCCCUGGGUUAAUACCCUGGGGUCAUGACGGUACCGUAAGAAUAAGCACCGGCUAACUACGUGCCAGCCGCCGCGGUAAUAC